rnacentral:rRNA from 1 species
AAGCCGGAGGAAGGUGGGGAUGACGUCAAGUCCUCAUGGCCCUUAUAGUGGGGCUACACACGUCAUACAAUGGCCGGUACAGAGGGUAGCCAACCCGCGAGGGGGAGCCAAUCCCACAAAGCCGGUCGUAGUCCGGAUCGCAGUCUGCAACUCGACUGCGUGAAGUCGGAAUCGCUAGUAAUCGCGGAUCAGCAUGUCGCGGUGAAUACGUUCCCGGGUCUU